rnacentral:ncRNA from 1 species
CAGAGUAGAGAUCUGUGCGUUAAGUGCCUGAGGGACGGGGAGUUGCCAUCAGGACGAAAAGGGUCGGCGCAGGCUUAGCCUUUGCGGUACAGGUUUCGCAUCCCGCUG